rnacentral:rRNA from 1 species
ACAGCAGCCGCCACGGGAAUACGUAGGGUGCAAGCGUUAAUCGGAAUUACUGGGCGUAAAGCGUGCGCAGGCGGUUAUAUAAGACAGAUGUGAAAUCCCCGGGCUCAACCUGGGAACUGCAUUUGUGACUGUAUAGCUAGAGUACGGCAGAGGGGGAUGGAAUUCCGCGUGUAGCAGUGAAAUGCGUAGAUAUGCGGAGGAACACCGAUGGCGAAGGCAAUCCCCUGGGCCUGUACUGACGCUCAUGCACGAAAGCGUGGGGAGCAAACAGGAUUAGAUACCCGUGUAGUCCCUGUCUCUUAUAC